AUUGAACGCUGGCGGCAGGCCUAACACAUGCAAGUCGAGCGGAUGAAGGGAGCUUGCUCCUGGAUUCAGCGGCGGACGGGUGAGUAAUGCCUAGGAAUCUGCCUGGUAGUGGGGGAUAACGUCCGGAAACGGGCGCUAAUACCGCAUACGUCCUGAGGGAGAAAGUGGGGGAUCUUCGGACCUCACGCUAUCAGAUGAGCCUAGGUCGGAUUAGCUAGUUGGUGGGGUAAAGGCCUACCAAGGCGACGAUCCGUAACUGGUCUGAGAGGAUGAUCAGUCACACUGGAACUGAGACACGGUCCAGGCUCCUACGGGAGGCAGCAGUGGGGAAGAUUGGACAAUGGGCGGAAGCCUGAUCCAGCCAUGCCGCGUGUGUGAAGAAGGUCUUCGGAUUGGAAAGCACUUUAAGUUGGGAGGAAGGGCAGUAAGUUAAUACCUUGCUGUUUUGACGGUACCAACAGAAUAAGCACCGGCUAACUUCGUG
rnacentral:rRNA from 1 species